CCCUUGUCCUUAGUURCCAGCACGUCAUGGUGGGCACUCUAAGGAGACUGCCGGUGACAAACCGGAGGAAGGUGGGGAUGACGUCAAGUCAUCAUGGCCCUUACGGCCUGGGCUACACACGUGCUACAAUGGUCGGUACAGAGGGUUGCCAAGCCGCRAGGUGGAGCUAAUCCCAUAAAACCGAUCGUAKUCCGGAUCGCAGUCUGCAACUCGACUGCGUGAAGUCGGAAUCGCUAGUAAUCGCGAAUCAGAAUGUCGCGGUGAAUACGUUCCCGGGCCUU
rnacentral:rRNA from 1 species